ensembl:lncRNA
UCAGAAUAUCUGUACAUUUUGGGGAGCAGUUGCUGAGGUAGCCUCGGUAGCAGAAGCAGAAACCACAGCAGCUGAGGUGAUUAAUGCAGAGGCUGAACAGACCCCAGAACCUGUGGAGGCAGCAACUGCGAUAGUAGAAGCAGUAGCAGCUGAUGCUGAGGAACCUACUGCACCUGUUGCUGAGGAUGUCACUGCUGAGGCUGCUGCUCCCAUUGCUGAAACAACCGGUGAGGCAUCUUCUGCUGAGGAAGCAGCCUGAGUCCCCAGCAGCCUAGAUAUGUGAUUCUUCCCAACCCACCUUGGAACGCUCCAUUUAGUUGUUAGAGACUCCCAUUUUUGUGCUCCUUUUAACUGACUGUGUCAUCCGAACAGAAAGAAGUGUCCCUUUUCAAAUUGUGAACUCCACAGGGUGUUAAUCUCAAGGGUGAGGAGGAGGAGAGGUUGAGGAACUAUUGAAGAUUUAAACAAACAAAAUAUGGACUGUUUUUUUUUUUUUUCCAGCCUGUGUUUUGACGCUUGAAUAUCCAAUUUAAAUCACAUAUAAAGUUUUGUAAUCUCUCCUCCUUCACCACCAGUGCAUGUUCCUGCUGUAAUAUUUGUUAUUGCUUACCCACAUUAUUUAAAUUUUGUCUCAUACAUGUGCAGGGAGGCAUUUUUCUUAAGUAACUUAAUAUUGACGAUGUUUAUUGGCAACAUUUUAUGGAUGUGCUAGGGUUGUGUGUCAUUCAGAACUGAGUUGAAAAUGCUUUUUAAAUUCCCCCAAAUUUAAUUGUGUUUGUGAUAGUAAACAGCAUUAGGAAUUGUGAUUUUUUUUCUAAAGGAAGUAUUAAAAUGAACAGAAAUUCGAAGUGCAAUAACUAAAUUUUACUAAAAGAAGCCCCAUCAAGACAAACUUUAAAUGAUGUCUUGACAAAACCUUUUCAUGUUUAAAUUCAGCCUUCUAGACACUCUCCAUCUUUUUUUCAAGCUAUUUCCUGUGAAUGUAGGAGACUUUCAAUUUAUUAGCUACUUGAAUUAAAUAACUAGUAGAAUAACAAUUUGCAAUCAGUUAAAACUAAUUAAAAUAAUAGACUGUAACAAAUGCCAGUUUGCAGCAUCAAGCAGAAUAACAGACUGUUUUUUGCAGCUAAAAUAACUGGAAAUGGCUGACACCAGAAGCAUUGCAUAUUCAAGUUCAAAAUGACUGCGUCCGCACUUAGCUUAAAAAAAGAGUGGAUAGACACGCAUACAUUUCUAUAUAAUUCUUCUAAAUUGUAUUAAUACACAUGCAUUCCAAGCCAUUGUGGCCUUAUAAGCAAUAUAAGAGAUCUUUUGUUUUCUUUUUUAAUGACUUGCCAUUUUUCUACCUGUGCAUGUUGUCUCUCAGUUAUUUGGAUGGAGGGCAGACAUUGUGCCUUUUUUAUAACUAGCUUAAAUAUCUCUUAAAAUGUGAACUAUCAUAAGGAAACAUAAUGCCAGUGUCACUUACAUAUCAUAAUACUGACAUUGGAAACAUUUGCUCUUAAUCUUGAUGCUGUUUUUUUUUUUUUAAUUUAGACUUAACCAACUCAGUACAUUUGAUUGUUGAUUGCAGUUUUUAAAACUGACAAAAUAUUUGUAAUCUUUAAAUAAAGUACUUAAAAUAUUAUUUUUGAGUCUGAAUUCAGUGCCGC